rnacentral:snoRNA from 1 species
UGGAUCAGGGAUGAGAACUGCCGGCGUAGGAGUCACGGAUGAUGAGUGAUACGUGUCUGGAACUCUGAGGUCCAG